rnacentral:rRNA from 1 species
CUGCGGAAGGAUCAUUAUCGAGUUUUGAAUGGGUUGUCUGCUGGCUCGCAAGGGCAUGUGCACGCCUGUCUCAUCCACUCUCAACUUCUGUGCACUUUUCAUAGGCCGGCUUGUGGGUGCGUUCGCGCACUUGUAGGUGUCGGGCUUAUGCUUUAUUACAAACGAUUCAGUUUUAGAAUGUCAUACUUUGCUAUAACGCAAUUUAUAUACAACUUUCAGCAACGGAUCUCUUGGCUCUCGCAUCGAUGAAGAACGCAGCGAAAUGCGAUAAGUAAUGUGAAUUGCAGAAUUCAGUGAAUCAUCGAAUCUUUGAACGCACCUUGCGCUCCUUGGUAUUCCGAGGAGCAUGCCUGUUUGAGUCUCAUGGAAUUCUCAACCUUCAGCUUUAUUGAUGAAGGCUUGGACUUGGAGGUCGUGCCGGCUCUCGUAGUCGGCUCCUCUGAAAUGCAUUAGUGCGAACGUUACCAGCCGCUUCAGCGUGAUAAUUAUCUGCGUUGCUGUGGAGGGUAUUCUAGUGUUCACGCUUCUAACCGUCUUCGGACAAAUUUCUGAACUCUGAGCUCAAAUCA